UGGGCCCUGAUCUGAUAGGACAGGUAUCCCUACGAGAAGACAAAGAGGCACAAGACACAAGACUUCUCUCUCUCCACAGGUGCAGAGACGAAGGGCCACCGGAGGACACAGGAGAAGGUGACCACCUACAAACCAAGGGGAGUGCCCUCAGGAGAAGCCAACGCUGCCGGCACCUUGAUCUGAGACUCCCAGUCACCAGAACCAGUGGCAUUCCAGUCUGAGUCACUUUGACUCUUAGAAAAACCAGUCUUUAAUUACAGUCCUGGUGCUUCAGGUAAGACGUUCCAGAAACAUUUCACGUUUGUAGACUUUGAGAUUCCUUUGAUGUGAUCCCUAAGAAGGAAUUUAUCUGCUGAGAUGGACUCUCCAUGAUCACCCGAGGGCCUGUAUUUUAUAAAUAACAGCCUGGCAGCCAUUUUCGGACAGUGGCUUCUCCUGUUCUCUACAUACCAGGAAGAAUCUCAGAUUGAACUCCUGGCUUCCUACACUAUGUGUGCCCUGCCUGAUUACCCAGCUGAGUCAACUAUUGUAGUGAAUUCCUGGUUUUAUCUUUCCCCCAAUGGAAUAAGACCUGCCUAACCCCAUCCAAGCAGAACUACUUGACUCAGACCUAUAGAAAGUAUACAAACUGGAUAUCUCAUUUAUGUCAAAUGGACCUAAUUGGGAACCUGGGCUGGAACUUUCAUUAUAAAAAGGUGGCCUCGGCUUUCUGUUCCUGGAACACAAUUUAGGUUGCUUCCUGAACCCAUGUUUUCUGGGCUGCAGCCCCUUUUGAUGAAAUAAAUGCUUUUUAUUCU